UCUUCUCUUCCUUGCCUUUUCUUUCAAAGUAAUUCCUCCCGACAUUCGUGUUGAUUGUCGUGCCUCACACGGUUACCUAUUGGCUGUAUUGGUGGCAGCGGUGCGUGAACUCCGAGUCUCGUCCCUCUACUGUAUGUUUCAGUCUUGUUGUUACCGUACUUUAGUCAAUCGUUGACGUUAUGCCUUAUGCCUCAACCCGCUGCUGCGACAGGAGAAGGGACAGUCGGCCAGCGCUUACUGUGAGAAGAUGGAUGCACAGGAGCAGAUUUUGUGCUGAAGAAACUUCAGGUGUACGGCAAGUGGUUGGAGUGGAUAUCAGUGAUGUGGCAGGACCUCUCUUGGAAAUCGCGUUUGUACGCCGUUAACAGUAAGACUCAACAUGUACUACAAUUGGAGACGUACUAGUAUUGGAGACGUGUACGUUCAAUGGGGAAAAUACGUCUCUACAGACAGACUGGACAUGCCAUUGAACUGGCAAUGCUUCAGUGGUCCUGAAUGAAUUCUCUGCUAACGCCGUCUCAGCAUCAC